AUACAGAGGGUGCAAGCGUUAUUCGGAAUUACUGGGCGUAAAGCGCGCGUAGGCGGAUGAUUAAGUCAGUUGUGAAAGCCCUGGGCUCAACCUAGGAACUGCAUCUGAUACUGGUCAUCUAGAGUUUAAGAGAGGGAAGUGGGAUUCCAGGUGUAGCAGUGAAAUGCGUAGAUAUCUGGAGGAACAUCAGUGGCGAAGGCGACUUCCUGGCUUAGAACUGACGCUGAGGUGCGAAAGCGUGGGUAGCGAACGGGAUUAGAAACCCUAGUAGUCC
rnacentral:rRNA from 1 species